UACGAAGGGGGCUAGCGUUGCUCGGAAUCACUGGGCGUAAAGGGUGCGUAGGCGGGUCUUUAAGUCAGGGGUGAAAUCCUGGAGCUCAACUCCAGAACUGCCUUUGAUACUGAGGAUCUUGAGUUCGGGAGAGGUGAGUGGAACUGCGAGUGUAGAGGUGAAAUUCGUAGAUAUUCGUCAAGAACACCAGUGGCGAAGGCGGCUCACUGGC
rnacentral:rRNA from 1 species